rnacentral:rRNA from 1 species
UGAGGAAUCUUGCGCAAUGGAGGAAACUCUGACGCAGCCAUGCCGCGUGCAGGAAGACACCCCUACGGGGCGUAAACUGCUUUUAUACGGGAAGAAACCCUCUUUUGAGAGGACUGACGGUACCGUACGAAUAAGGACCGGCUAACUCCGUGCCAGCAGCCGCGGUAAUACGGAGGGUCCAAGCGUUGUCCGGAAUCACUGGGUGUAAAGGGUGCGCAGGCGGGCCUGUAAGUCAGAGGUGAAAGCCCACGGCUCAACCGUGGAACUGCCUUUGAUACUGCAGGUCUUGAGUCCUGGAGAGGUUGCCGGAAUUCGUGGUGUAGCGGUGAAAUGCGUAGAUAUCACGAGGAACACCUGAUGCGUAGGCGGGCAACUGGACAGGUACUGACGCUGAGGCACGAAAGCGUGGGGAGCGAACAGGAUUAGAUACCCCCGUAGUCC